UACGUAGGGCGCAAGCGUUGUCCGGAAUUAUUGGGCGUAAAGAGCUCGUAGGCGGUCUGUCGCGUCGGCUGUGAAAACUCGGGGCUCAACUCCGAGCUUGCAGUCGAUACGGGCAGGCUAGAGUUCGGCAGGGGAGACUGGAAUUCCUGGUGUAGCGGUGAAAUGCGCAGAUAUCAGGAGGAACACCGGUGGCGAAGGCGGGUCUCUGGGCCGAUACUGACACUGAGGAGCGAAAGCGUGGGGAGCGAACAGG
rnacentral:rRNA from 1 species